rnacentral:rRNA from 1 species
UGGGGAAUUUUGGACAAUGGGCGAAAGCCUGAUCCAGCAAUGCCGCGUGUGUGAAGAAGGCCUUCGGGUUGUAAAGCACUUUUGUCCGGAAAGAAAUCCUUGGCUCUAAUACAGUCGGGGGAUGACGGUACCGGAAGAAUAAGCACCGGCUAACUACGUGCCAGCAGCCGCGGUAAUACGUAGGGUGCAAGCGUUAAUCGGAAUUACUGGGCGUAAAGCGUGCGCAGGCGGUUUGCUAAGACCGAUGUGAAAUCCCCGGGCUCAACCUGGGAACUGCAUUGGUGACUGGCAGGCUAGAGUAUGGCAGAGGGGGGUAGAAUUCCACGUGUAGCAGUGAAAUGCGUAGAGAUGUGGAGGAAUACCGAUGGCGAAAGGCAGCCCCCUGGGCCAAAUACUGACGCUCAUGCACGAAAAGCGUGGGGGAGCAAACAGGAUUAGAUACCCUGGGUAGUCCACGCCCUAAAACGAUGUCAACUAGUUGUUGGGGAUUCAUUUCCUUAGUAACGUAGCUAACGCGUGAAGUUGACCGCCUGGGGAGUACGGUCGCAAGAUUAAAACUCAAAGGAAUUGACGGGGUCAUAGCUGUUUCCU